GAAAUAUGAUGUUUUCAAGUGAAAGCUGCUAACUUAUCACCAUAGCGGUUAAAUCCCGUUAAUAUUUCU
rnacentral:tRNA from 1 species